rnacentral:pre_miRNA from 1 species
UCUUACGGAUGAGCAAAAAAAGUGGUUUCUUGAGAUGGAAACUACUCCUGGUGCAGAUGCUUUGAA